GUUCACUUCAACCCCAUGAUCCUAAGCACACCUGUACCUGCCCUGGAAUCCCUCAGCCAUGUUUGUUCCACAGAGCAUCACUAUCAAACAGUUCACUGUGGACUACUCGUAGCAGAAGUACAGUAGGGGACAGCAAGUGUCAGCUCCAUCAGGACCCCUGAUUUAAUUAUUUACUGUGGAACCAUUGUCCUGAGUCAGGAGGAUAGAUGAGGAAAGAAUGAGCGUGGCUGGCAUCGCUUCAUGAUUACAUUCUGGGAAAGAUCUUGCCUGUUAACCGCUAGAGAAGGAGGGACGAUGCAGACAAUGAAGACUAUAGCAGACUGAAUUACCCUCUGAGAUGAGGACUUUGCUAUUGCCAUUGCAGAACCACUGGUGGAAGUUGUUGUUAAACAGUGGGUCUUGCAUGCAAGCUCUACAGUUAUGCACAGUAUUUCCAUGACAUCCCAAGCCAUGAGGUCCAUGCUGCCAUAUCCCCCUGUUUAACAAGUGUGGAAACUGAUAAUGGACUCACAAUUGCUGAUGUAUAGGUUCUAAUGUUUUCUAUUGUGGACACGGGACACCCAGACUGAGAACCAAUGGCUCCAGUCUGAUUUAAACAUGGGUCCGUGCUCACACACUCAAUACCUACCCUCUGUGCUCACAAGUCCUGUGUGAGUAAGACUCCAAAUUAUUCUGUUUUGUUUUACUCAAUGGUACGCUCUACCUUAUUAUAGAGUAUACCAUGUAUUGAGACAAGAAUGCCAGUCAUUCUGAGAAACAAAAUGCAACCAUUAGUUGUCAUUUUAAUUAGGGACGAAUAGUUGUGUCGAUCAUCAAACAUGCUUGUAUAAUUGGAUGAGAAGAGGUGUAACACGGGCCAAUGAUGACGAGGUUUCGGGAUUAUAAGUCACGGACUAGCAGAAGAUGCCUCAUGUGACCCUCUCAUGCAGGGGUUGCAAGUCAGGCAUGUGCAUACA
rnacentral:lncRNA from 1 species